CAGAUGAUUGGGGUGAAGUCGUAACAAGGUAUCCCUACCGGAAGGUGGGGAUGGAUCACCUCCUUUCUACGGAG
rnacentral:rRNA from 1 species